UUUAUUUCUAGAACUUAAGGAUGGUCUUUACCGAUCAUACAUGGUAGAUCGGAUCGGUAAAGACCAUCCUUAAGUUCUAGAAAUAAAGAAAAGC
rnacentral:pre_miRNA from 1 species